rnacentral:rRNA from 1 species
UACGUAGGGUGCAAGCGUUAAUCGGAAUUACUGGGCGUAAAGCGUGCGCAGGCGGUUAUGUAAGACAGAUGUGAAAUCCCCGGGCUCAACCUGGGAACUGCAUUUGUGACUGCAUUGCUGGAGUGCGGCAGAGGGGGAUGGAAUUCCGCGUGUAGCAGUGAAAUGCGUAGAUAUGCGGAGGAACACCGAUGGCGAAGGCAAUCCCCUGGGCCUGCACUGACGCUCAUGCACGAAAGCGUGGGAGCAAACAGG